UUGAAUGGGUGGUUCAUCACAUAUUAUGGG
rnacentral:piRNA from 1 species